GGAUGUGAGGGCGUUCUGGCUAUGGCAUCUGUCACUCCAUUGAUCUCCAGGGUUGAUUCAGUUGAUCUGGCUGGCUAGGCAGGUGUCCCCUUCCUCCCUCACUGCUUGGAUGGCCUCCCACAAAUAGAGAUGGACUGGUCUUCAGUUGAGAGUAUACUGAACUGAGUAACUGCGCUCCCCUGCUAGAACCUCCAAACAAGCUCUCAAGAUAAUCAAAUGUGUUGACAAGAUAAAUUAAUUAUUAUAUAUACAGAAUCUGGACAUUCCCGAGAAAUUCAGCCUUU
ensembl:misc_RNA 7SK 7SK RNA